rnacentral:rRNA from 1 species
AUUAGUGGCGAACGGGUGAGUAACACGUGGGCAAUCUGCCCUGCACUCUGGGACAAGCCCUGGAAACGGGGUCUAAUACCGGAUACUGAUCCUCGCAGGCAUCUGCGAGGUUCGAAAGCUCCGGCGGUGCAGGAUGAGCCCGCGGCCUAUCAGCUUGUUGGUGAGGUAACGGCUCACCAAGGCGACGACGGGUAGCCGGCCUGAGAGGGCGACCGGCCACACUGGGACUGAGACACGGCCCAGACUCCUACGGGAGGCAGCAGUGGGGAAUAUUGCACAAUGGGCGAAAGCCUGAUGCAGCGACGCCGCGUGAGGGAUGACGGCCUUCGGGUUGUAAACCUCUUUCAGCAGGGAAGAAGCGAAAGUGACGGUACCUGCAGAAGAAGCGCCGGCUAACUACGUGCCAGCAGCCGCGGUAAUACGUAGGGCGCAAGCGUUGUCCGGAAUUAUUGGGCGUAAAGAGCUCGUAGGCGGCUUGUC